rnacentral:rRNA from 1 species
CCUACGGGAGGCAGCAGUGGGGAAUAUUGGACAAUGGGCGCAAGCCUGAUCCAGCCAUGCCGCGUGUGUGAAGAAGGCCUUAGGGUUGUAAAGCACUUUCAGUGGGGAGAAAGGUUAUUCACCUAAUACGUGAGUAAAUUGAUGUUACCCACAGAAGAAGCACCGGCUAACUCCGUGCCAGCAGCCGCGGUAAUA